UACGGGGGGGGCAAGCGUUGUUCGGAAUUACUGGGCGUAAAGGGCUCGUAGGUGGCCAACUAAGUCAGACGUGAAAUCCCUCGGCUUAACCGGGGAACUGCGUCUGAUACUGGAUGGCUAGAGAUUGGGAGAGGGAUGCGGAAUUCCAGGUGUAGCGGUGAAAUGACGUAGAUAUCUGGAGGAACACCGGUGGCGAAGGCGGCAUCCUGGACCGACAUUGACGCUGAGGAGCGAAAGCUAGGGGAGCAAACGGG
rnacentral:rRNA from 1 species